UAUACCGUGAAACUGCGAAUGGCUCAUUAAAUCAGUUAUCGUUUAUUUGAUAGUACCUUACUACUUGGAUAACCGUGGUAAUUCUAGAGCUAAUACAUGCUAAAAACCUCGACUUCGGAAGGGGUGUAUUUAUUAGAUAAAAAACCAAUGCCCUUCGGGGCUUCUUGGUGAUUCAUAAUAACUUAACGAAUCGCAUGGCCUUGCGCUGGCGAUGGUUCAUUCAAAUUUCUGCCCUAUCAACUUUCGAUGUUAAUGUAUUGGAUUAACAUGGUUUCAACGGGUAACGGGGAAUUAGGGUUCUAUUCCGGAGAGGGAGCCUGAGAAACGGCUACCACAUCCAAGGAAGGCAGCAGGCGCGCAAAUUACCCAAUCCCGACACGGGGAGGUAGUGACAAUAAAUACUGAUACAGGGCUCUUUUGGGUCUUGUAAUUGGAAUGAGUACAAUUUAAAUCCCUUAACGAGGAACAAUUGGAGGGCAAGUCUGGUGCCAGCAGCCGCGGUAAUUCCAGCUCCAAUAGCGUAUAUUAAAGUUGUUGCAGUUAAAAAGCUCGUAGUUGAACCUUGGGCCUGGCUGGCCGGUCCGCCUCACCGCGUGCACUGGUCCGGCCGGGCCUUUCCUUCUGGGGAGCCGCAUGCCCUUCACUGGGUGUGUCGGGGAACCAGGACUUUUACUUUGAAAAAAUUAGAGUGUUCAAAGCAGGCCUAUGCUCGAAUACAUUAGCAUGGAAUAAUAGAAUAGGACGUGUGGUUCUAUUUUGUUGGUUUCUAGGACCGCCGUAAUGAUUAAUAGGGAUAGUCGGGGGCAUCAGUAUUCAAUUGUCAGAGGUGAAAUUCUUGGAUUUAUUGAAGACUAACUACUGCGAAAGCAUUUGCCAAGGAUGUUUUCAUUAAUCAGUGAACGAAAGUUAGGGGAUCGAAGACGAUCAGAUACCGUCGUAGUCUUAACCAUAAACUAUGCCGACUAGGGAUCGGGCGAUGUUAUCUUUUUGACUCGCUCGGCACCUUACGAGAAAUCAAAGUCUUUGGGUUCUGGGGG
rnacentral:rRNA from 1 species